rnacentral:misc_RNA from 1 species
AGGAAAAGCAUCACAUUUAUUUGACUUUUAUGGGUUUUUUAAAUUUUUUACUUCUGCGCCUCACCUUGUUUAGGCGCGCGCCUGCGUUUUGUGCCUUGCGCCUAGGCUUCAGGAUUGCUGGGCGCCUUAGUGCGCCCUGAGCCUUUAAUAACUAUGCUUAAAGCUUUAUGUUGAUGUAAAUUCUUAGAGGACAUAUUUGCUAAUGGAUAUAAGUUGGUUGUGUGAGAAACAAUAUCUUAUCCUUCAGGCUACUCCAUUAUAGACUUAAAGACUCAUCUUAUCUGGUUCUAAUUCUAUGUCAAGCCAUUUUUUAAAUGGCAUUUCAACUUAAUGUGGUGUUUCAUAUUAACUUGUUUGUUUUUUGCUUUGGGAUGUAACUUUGGCUUCUACAUUUUGUUGCCUUAGCUUUUUCUUGUUCUUUUAUAAAAACUUGUUAUAGUUAUGUUUUUUUGUGUGUGUAUUGGAAGCAUCCUUACAGAGACGAAGAGGUUGGGGGGGGAGGGGG